rnacentral:rRNA from 1 species
AACGAACGCUGGCGGCGUGCCUAACACAUGCAAGUCGCGCGGGAAAGUUCCCUUCGGGAGCGAGUAUAGCGGCGCACGGGUGAGUAAUACGUAGGUAACCUGCCCUCGAGACUGGGACAACCUGUCGAAAGACGGGCUAAUACCGGAUAAGACCACGAGAGCUGCGGCUCUUGGGGUAAAAGGUGGCCUCUGCUUGCAAGCUAUCACUUGAGGAUGGGCCUGCGCGCCAUAGCUAGUUGGUGAGGUAACGGCUCACCAAGGCAGAGAUGGCUAGCUGGUCUGAGAGGAUGACCAGCCACACUGGGACUGAGACACGGCCCAGACUCCUACGGGAGGCAGCAGUGGGAAUAUUGCGCAAUGGGCGAAAGCCUGACGCAGCGACGCCGCGUGGGUGAUGAAGGCCUUCGGGUC